rnacentral:rRNA from 1 species
CUACGGGUGGCUGCAGUGAGGAAUAUUGCACAAUGGGGGGAACCCUGAUGCAGCAACGCCGCGUGGAGGAUGACGCAUUUCGGUGUGUAAACUCCUUUUAUAUGUCAAGAAAAUGACGGUAGCAUAUGAAUAAGCACCGGCUAACUCCGUGCCAGCAGCCGCGGUAAUACCGAGGGUGCAAGCGUUACUCGGAAUCACUGGGCGUAAAGGGCGCGUAGGCGGGUUGGAAAGUCAGGUGUGAAAUCCUACAGCUUAACUGUAGAACUGCACUUGAAACUUCUAAUCUAGAGUAUGGGAGGGGGAGAUGGAAUUAGUGGUGUAGGGGUAAAAUCCGUAGAUAUCACUAGGAAUACCUAAAGCGAAGGCGAUCUCCUGGAACAUUACUGACGCUAAGGCGUGAAAGCGUGGGGAGCAAACAGGAUUAGAUACCCCUGUAGUC